CAGAGGGGGGAGGGGCGGUAGUUACAGUCGCACUAGCAGAGGAACAGAGCGGGAGGGAGAGACAGAAAGAGAGCCAGGGACAACAACGUCACAUUAAAAAGAGCUCAUUACGGGCUCCCGCCCUUGGCCCACACACCUGUGAUCCUCCACACCCGAAGCUCGUUGGCUGACGACUUUCCAGUGACUAUUUAAGAUGGCGUCUCAGUGUUUUUCUUUGCUGGACCAUUAUAGUCUGCUAUCUUUCUGAAGCCUUCCCCCGUGUGUUCUGGAUUGUCGCGAGUUUUUCGGAGUGGACAUUGUGUGGAUUGUUCAUUGUGGGACCUGUGUGGAGCGGGCAUGGAGUGUCUUGUCUUCUUCCCCUGCCCGCAGAGGGCAGGAGAAGAAGGGAGCUCAUUAUGGGCCCCUGCCCUUGACCUACCUACACACCUGUGAUUACAGUUCACCUGGUGUUUUUGUGUCUAAUAGACUUUGUACACAGAUUUCCUGAGUCCGCGUGUGAACCCAUUCUGUCAGCCCCACAAGCUGUAUAAUGUUAUAAUAUUUAUUAAAGCAUAUAUGCCGAAUUUGUUUUUCAGUUAAGUUAUUUUAGAUACUGAAUGAAUCAUUACAGUUCUAAAACACACUGUUGGAGUCAAAUUGUUGUCAUUAAACACAAACACUCAUUACAAUAAGUGUUUGUGUAAACUAAGUCAUAGAAUAAAAGUCUGCAGGGGAAGCUCUUUCUUCAAAGUAGUCUGAGACCGAGGGCAGCAUGUGAAAAACCGGUUAAAGCUGUUCGCC
ensembl:lncRNA